rnacentral:rRNA from 1 species
UGUGGCGGCGGCCACAGCGGCCGGGGCCACACCCGGGCCACAUCUCGAACCCGGAAGUUAAGCCCGGCCGCGUCCCGGGUGGUACUGCGCUCCGAGAGGGCGCGGGAAGCCCGGGAUGCCGCCGCCGUCCCCC